GGAGAGGUGCCGGAGUGGUUGAACGGGGCGGUCUCGAAAACCGUUGGUCGCGCAAGCGGCUCGUGGGUUCGAAUCCCACCCUCUCCG
rnacentral:tRNA from 1 species